rnacentral:rRNA from 1 species
UAUGGGGGGUGCGAGCGUUGUCCGGAAUCACUGGGCGUAAAGGGCGCGUAGGUGGCCUGAUAAGGGUGUGGUGAAAGUCCGGGGCUCAACCCCGGAUCUGCCGUGCCGACUGUCAGGCUGGAGUACUGUAGGGGCAGGCGGAAUUCCGGGUGUAGCGGUGGAAUGCGUAGAGAUCCGGAGGAAGACCGGUGGCGAAGGCGGCCUGCUGGGCAGUUACUGACACUGAGGCGCGACAGCGUGGGGAGCAAACAGG